AGCGAACGCUGGCGGCAGGCCUAACACAUGCAAGUCGAACGAACCUUUCGGGGUUAGUGGCGGACGGGUGAGUAACACGUGGGAACGUGCCUUUAGGUCCGGAAUAACUCAGGGAAACUUGUGCUAAUACCGAAUGUGCCCUUCGGGGGAAAGAUUAAUCGCCUUUAGAGCGGCCCGCGUCUGAUUAGCUAGUUGGUUGAGGUAAUGGCUCACCAAGGCGACGAUCAGUAGCUGGUCUGAGAGGAUGAUCAGCCACAUUGGGACUGAGACACGGCCCAAACUCCUACGGGAGGCAGGAGGUGGGAAUCUUGCGCAAUGGGCGAAAGGCUGACGGCGCCAAGCCGCGUGAAUUAUGAAGGUCUUAGGAUUGUAAAAUUCUUUCACCGGGGACGAUAAUGACGGUACCCGGAGAAGAAGCCCCGGCUAACUUCGUG
rnacentral:rRNA from 1 species